rnacentral:rRNA from 1 species
UGAACCGGCGAGUUACGAUUUGAUGCAAGGUUAAGCAGUAAAUGUGGAGCCGUAGCGAAAGCGAGUCUGAAUAGGGCGUUUAGUAUUUGGUCGUAGACCCGAAACCAGGUGAUCUACCCUUGGUCAGGUUGAAGUUCAGGUAACACUGAAUGGAGGACCGAACCGACUUACGUUGAAAAGUGAGCGGAUGAACUGAGGGUAGCGGAGAAAUUCCAAUCGAACCUGGAGAUAGCUGGUUCUCUCCGAAAUAGCUUUAGGGCUAGCCUCAAGUGAUGAUUAUUGGAGGUAGAGCACUGUUUGGACGAGGGGCCCCUCUCGGGUUACCGAAUUCAGACAAACUCCGAAUGCCAAUUAAUUUAACUUGGGAGUCAGAACAUGGGUGAUAAGGUCCGUGUUCGAAAGGGAAACAGCCCAGACCACCAGCUAAGGUCCCAAAAUAUAUGUUAAGUGGAAAAGGAUGUGGCGUUGCCCAGACAACUAGGAUGUUGGCUUAGAAGCAGCCAUCAUUUAAAGAGUGCGUAAUAGCUCACUAGUCGAGUGACACUGCGCCGAAAAUGUACCGGGGCUAAACAUAUUACCGAAGCUGUGGAUUGUCCUUUGGACAAUGGUAGGAGAGCG